AAUUAAGAAAUGUAUAUAAAAAUGUAUACGUAGUGCAGGAUUAUUAUUUCUCGGUGGUGAUUAGCGCUCACCGCAGGGAAGUCCUGCUGUCUGGAAAUUGGCUUUGCCUCCUAGGAAACCUGAGGAAAACGCUGCCCUACUUAAUGCUGCUGUAGCUCGUAGGAGAAGCUUGAAAUUAAAUAGAUACAGGGUUUUCUUUCAAAAUACUCUCUUGAAUAAAUUAGUUUGCAUCCAGAAAUGGCAUCUGUUUUCCUUGGCUCGGAUAUUUCUCUAGAAGUGUUUAGGUAUGCAGUUCACACUUAAACGGGUGCUUAAUAUCUGAGCAGUUCUGUGUUGUUCUGAGUUAGAAACACUGUUUUAACUCAAAGUUUUAAAUGCAGAAACGCUGUGGGGUCAGUAACCCUGGGAGAGGAGAAUGAUGGGCACUUAGACAUCAGACCUUAUGAGGUGAAAAACAGUGUUUGGAAGAACUAAGUGGCCUGGUGUUCAGUAACACAUACCUAACUAUAAACCUUCUCUUUUAUACUUGAGGAAGAAGCUGAAAGCACUGGACACGCCUCUGUUUCUGUUGGAGGUCGCUUGCUGAUUUAUCUCCAAUUCACAGCUCAUUAGAAGAAGGGCAGCUUUUCCACGGUUUUGGUGUUUUUGAGGAAGGUGUAACGCCUUCAGAAUGUACCAGUGAGAUUUUGAAGGUAGGUUUGCACGUUACAUUUCAAAAGGUGAUGGAAGGAAAUGUGGAUUUCUUCGAAGGCCUGAAUUGUAGAACCCUGAUGAUUUGA
rnacentral:lncRNA from 1 species